rnacentral:rRNA from 1 species
UAGGGAAUCUUCGGCAAUGGGGGCAACCCUGACCGAGCAACGCCGCGUGAGUGAAGAAGGUUUUCGGAUCGUAAAGCUCUGUUGUAAGAGAAGAACGAGUGUGAGAGUGGAAAGUUCACACUGUGACGGUAACUUACCAGAAAGGGACGGCUAACUACGUGCCAGCAGCCGCGGUAAUACGUAGGUCCCGAGCGUUAUCCGGAUUUAUUGGGCGUAAAGCGAGCGCAGGCGGUUAGAUAAGUCUGAAGUUAAAGGCUGUGGCUUAACCAUAGUACGCUUUGGAAAUNNUUNAACUUGAGUGCAGAAGGGGAGAGUGGAGUUCCAUGUGUAGCGGUGAAAUGCGUAGAUAUACGGAGGAACACCGGUGGCGAAAGCGGCUCUCUGGUCUGUAACUGACGCUGAGGCUCGAAAGCGUGGGGAGCAAACAGGAUUAGAUACCCUGGUAGUCCACGCCGUAAACGAUGAGUGCUAGGUGUUGGGUCCUUUCCGGGACCCAGUGCCGCAGCUAACGCAUUAAGCACUCCGCCUGGGGAGUACGACCGCAAGGUUG